UGUUUAAUGUUAAUCUUUUCUUCCUGCUCUUCCUCCCUGCUCUGUUCUUAGUUGCUCUCAUUAUACCAAAUGUCUUCUUUGAUAUAAUGAGAGCAACUAAGAACAAAGCAGGGAGGAAGAGCAGGAAGAAAAGAUUAACAUUAAACA
rnacentral:miRNA from 1 species